rnacentral:tRNA from 1 species
GCCUGGGUGGUGUACUGGUCAAGACGCUCGUCUGGUAAACAGGAGAGCGUGGGUUUAAUCCCAGCCAAGGUU